rnacentral:rRNA from 2 species
UACGAACUGUGCGAACGUUAUUCGGAAUCACUGGGCUUACAGGGUGCGUAGGCGGCUCUUCAAGUCAGGUGUGAAAGCCCCCGGCUCAACCGGGGAACAGCGCUUGAAACUGAAGGGCUCGAGUCAGCUAGAGGUGCACGGAACUUCCAGUGGAGCGGUGAAAUGUGUUGAUAUUGGAAGGAACACCGGAGGCGAAAGCGGUGCACUGGGGCUGGUCUGACGCUGAGGCACGAAAGCCAGGGUAGCGAACGGG